rnacentral:rRNA from 1 species
AUUGAACGCUGGCGGCAUGCCUAACACAUGCAAGUCGAGCGGAUGAAGGGAGCUUGCUCCUGGAUUCAGCUGCGGACGGGUGAGUAAUUCCUAGGAAUCUGCCUUGUAGUUGGGGAUAACGUCCGGAAACGGGCGCUAAUACCGCAUACGUCCUGAGGGAGAAAGUGGGGGAUCUUCGGACCUCACGCUAUCAGAUGAGCCUAGGUCGGAUUAGCUAGUUGGUUGGGUAAAGGCCUACCAAGGCGACGAUCCGUAACUGGUCUGAGAGGAUGAUCAGUCACACUGGAACUGAGACACGGUCCAGACUCCUACGGGAGGCAGCAGUGGGGAAUAUUGGACAAUGGGCGAAAGCCUGAUCCAGCCAUGCCGCGUGUGUGAAGAAGGUCUUCGGAUUGUAAAGCACUUUAAGUUGGGAGGAAGGGCAGUAAGUUAAUACCUUGCUGUUUUGACGUUACCAACAGAAUAGGCACCGGCUAACUUCGUG